AUUGAACGCUGGCGGCAGGCCUAACACAUGCAAGUCGGGCGAGUGGCGGACGGGUGAGUAAUGUCUGGGGAUCUGCCUGAUGGAGGGGGAUAACUACUGGAAACGGUAGCUAAUACCGCAUACCAUCGGAUGAACCCAUAUGGGAUUAGCUUGUAGGUUGGGUAACGGCUCACCUAGUCGACGCUCCCUAGCUGGUCUGAGAGGAUGAGCAGCCACACUGGGACUGAGACACGGCCCAGAUUCCUACGGGAGGCAGCAGUGGGGAAUAUUGCACAAUGGGCGCAAGCCUGAUGUAGCCAUGCCGAGUGUGUGAAGAAGGCCUGCGGGUUGUAAAGUACUUUCAGUGAGGAGUCGUUACCGACAGAAGAAGCCCCGGCUAACUCCUUGCCAGCAGCCGCGGUAAUAC
rnacentral:rRNA from 1 species